GGCCAGACUCCUACGGGAGGCAGCAGUGAGGAAUAUUGGUCAAUGGGCGAGAGCCUGAACCAGCCAAGUCGCGUGAGGGAAGACGGCCCUACGGGUUGUAAACCUCUUUUGUCGGGGAGCAAAGCGAACCACGUGUGGUUCAUUGAGAGUACCCGAAGAAAAAGCAUCGGCUAACUCCGUGCCAGCAGCCGCGGUAAUACGGAGGAUGCGAGCGUUAUCCGGAUUUAUUGGGUUUAAAGGGUGCGCAGGCGGAUUUUUAAGUCAGCGGUCAAAUCGUGGGGCUCAACCCCAUCCAGCCGUUGAAACUGGGGAUCUAGAGUGUGCGAGAGGUAUGCGGAAUGCGUGGUGUAGCGGUGAAAUGCAUAGAUAUCACGCAGAACCCCGAUUGCGAAGGCAGCAUACCGGUGCACAACUGACGCUCAGGCACGAAAGCGUGGGUAUCGAACAGGAUUAGAUACCCGUGUA
rnacentral:rRNA from 1 species